UACGAAGGGGGCUAGCGUUGUUCGGAAUUACUGGGCGUAAAGCGCACGUAGGCGGAUAUUUAAGUCAGGGGUGAAAUCCCAGAGCUCAACUCUGGAACUGCCUUUGAUACUGGGUAUCUCGAGUAUGGAAGAGGUGAGUGGAAUUCCGAGUGUAGAGGUGAAAUUCGUAGAUAUUCGGAGGAACACCAGUGGCGAAGGCGGCUCACUGGUCCAUUACUGACGCUGAGGUGCGAAAGCGUGGGGGAGCAAACAGG
rnacentral:rRNA from 1 species